UUUUUUUUUUCCUUCUCAGAAACAGAAAAGCUAAGAAAACCACAUAUAUUCACUCUUAAUCUGUACAUACUCUUCUGAGUACACUUUGGUUUUCCUUUUACUUUUCAGGAGAGAUUGCCUAUCCUGUUAAUGAUAUAAAAAUGACUUAGGAUGAAGUCCUUUAAUAGCCAAAAGUUGAUUAGGCUAUUGUCUCUCAGCAGUUAAAAAUAGUGCUUUAGAGGGGCGCCUGGGUGUUUCAGUUGGUUGAGUGUCCAACUUCGGCUCAGGUCAUGAUCUUAGGGUUCAGGAGUUCGAGCCCCGCCUCUGGCUUUCUGCUGACAGUUCAGAGCCUGGAGCCUGCUUUGGAUUCUGUGUCUCCCUCUUUCUCUGCCCCUCUCCUCCUUGUGUUCUCUCUCUCUCAAAAAUUAAUUUUAAAAAGUAGUGCUUUAGACUGCUGGUUGUCAAAGUGUGGUCCCCAGAGCAUCAGUAUCAGCAUCAUCCAGAAACUUGUUAGAGAUAGACAUUCUUGGCCCCCACUCAGACCGGCUGACUUAGAAGCUCUAGGGGUGCAACACUCUGUGUUUUAACAAGCUCUCCAGGGUAUUCUGUCUGAUACAUGCCAAAGUUUGAGAACCACUGCUUUAAACCUUCAGCUAAGGGUCUAAAAGGAAUAAAUACCUCCCUCCCCCAUUUUUUCCCCUCAUGAUUAUUUUAAAGACUUACAAGACUUUAAAAACAGCACAUACCUGUGUUUAAGCUGUCAUACAACAGUAUUAGAGCAAGACAUGAUUAGGUCACUUAGUAGCCAGAAAGGCACAGUACAACAGGUAUUAGACCUGACCAGACCGGAAGUUGGCUUUGUGUUCACAUCCUGCCUCCACCAUUUACUCCUUGUGUGACCUGGAGCACUCAGCCUCUCAGUGGUUCUGAUCUCUCCUCUGUAACACUGAGAUCAUGGCAGUACCUAUCUUACGGGAAGGGUUGUUGCUAGAAAUGAAGGGCUCAUUUUGAGAAGUGCUUGGCAUAGUGUCUGGCACACGAUGAGUGCUCUGUAAAUGAUUGUUAAAUAUAAAAAAUGAACUUGGAGCCAAAGAUUUCAUAAUCUGGGAUAGUCCCCUAUGAGAGGGACACAGAACAGGUGGGUGAAACAAGUCACACCCCCUCCGGAGUGGCCUUUGCCACUGCCUGUUGAUGGCCACUGUCUGCAUCUAUCAGGCCAUUGCUGUUCUCCCAGAUGCUGAGAGAGAAAACUGGGCCACCAAUGACUGCAGAGGACAGGAAAUCUGUAUAUAUUUAAGCAGCAUUAACACCUGUGCUGCUCUGAAUCCUGGAGAGGGAGGCAAUAAGAAAUGCACUUAGCCUUCAUCGGGAUGUGGGCGGUGUCUGAUAUCCCAUGCCAUAAUAUGGCCAAACCUUAGAUGUCAGAACUUUCACAUGUACUUCUCUCAAAAAAAAUCCAUUCAACAUGAACUAGGCACCAACAUCCAUUUCUGUUGGUUGUUGGUAUAUACUCGAUCACUUGGCAGUUUUGAUGUAUUUUAACCCAGCUUUCAGCUUUCUGUAAUCUCGCUUCAUCAAUCCUUCUCUGCUCAGGCAUGUCUGCCUUCAUUUGGCAGACAUGGCAGGUUUUUCAUUUCCCCCAUGUAAAUGACUUGUUUAUUACAGUAGGUGUCCCUGGUCUUUGGAAACAGCUUUCAGAUAUCCUCACAUAGAGCUCAGAAAGGGCUUCAUGAAUAAUAAUGCCCAAGUAAACCUGAGAUGAGCUUGGACGUUGCCUCUUUGAAAUUCAUACAUCAUCCUAAGUGCCAUCAUUUAAAUAGAAAAUGUAGAAGGUUUCCUGGGAAGGCUGAGUCUGAAAUAUGCUUUCUUUACGAAACUUAUCAUUUCAGCACAAAACAAACAAACAGUGGAAAGCAAAGGUGGGAGUAUGUGAUUCCUGGUAUGUGUUUUACUUGAGCAUAAAAUUUGUUUUCCUGAUUGUACUGGGACUUUUCACAGCCCCUGGUUUUAACUUUUUAAUUUGCAUUUCUCUUUCUACUAAACGUUUCUCAGCUUCCUUUGAAUUUAUGGUAAAAGCCACAAAACCAGAGAUGAGAAGACAGCCAUCCAAGGUUUUAGCUACCAUACAUACAGCUGCAAUGAACAUUCAUGAACAAGUCUUUGUGUGGACAUAUGCUUUCAUUCAUCUGGAGUAAAUACCUAGGAGGGGAAUGGCCAGAAUGUUUGAUCCGCAAAUCCUGUCUCCAGGCUGAAUCCCACACAUUCAAUGGGCUGGGUGUUUGGUGCUGCAGAAGAACCAGAGCAACAAGAUCUACUGGAGUGACCACCACUCAGAGAAUGGGCUUCUGGACAUUGCAAAACUUUUUGGAAGACAGGCAGCCCUGGGGAGGAGAGGAUAUCUUAAGGGCAGACUCAUUGUUCUCCAAGCACCUUUCCUCUGAUGUCCAGAAACCACUGCCUGGCCCUCCUCAAAGGCAAGCUGGCUCCCAGACUCCCAUUGGACCUCAGGGAAGCCUUUGAGGACAGAGGGCCACAGCAAUAGCAGUUCAGUACAGACCAGCUGACCCCCAUGACCUAUGCCACUGAGGAGCCCCAUGUUCUUACCAGAAGGGAGAGUGGCUCCUCAGAGUCUGGGGGGAAUGAGCAGCAAUACUGAGCCCUCCGCUACAGGACGCUGGGCACCUAGAACCCAAGACUGAAAGAUGUGUAUGACUGAACAGCAUCUCACAUAUACACUGGCCUCUUGGUUACCUCCCUCAUUAGAAUAUAAGCUUCCUGGAAGCCAGACCUUGUCUCUCAACUCCAAGGUGGUUUCCUCAGCAUCUAGAACAUAGUAGACAGUAUUCAAUAAAUGUGCACCGAAGGACUGUGUGAAGGUUAUAAUCGCUAUGUUUAUGGCAUGCGUUGACACUUUCAUUAAGUUACGGUACUUUUCUAAACAUUCAAGCAAGUGUUUUCAGCAACAGCAUGUAAGAACUCCAAUAGCCAGUGUGCCAGUAGGGAACAUCUACAAUGAUGCUGAGAAAAAUUUUCCUUGGUACAAAAACCCCAUGGACUCUUUACAUCUAAGAACUUUAAAACAGUGGUUCCAACUUGUUUAUUUGGUUAGCAGCGAGCUCUUUCUUCAGUGGAGAUCUGAGGCAGAGACCCGGUAUAUAAACAAGAUAAAAGUGGGGCUGCUCCGUUCAAUCUGGAGUAAGCGGAGCAGGGGGGAGAUAGGAGUCUGAGCCUGGCUGCCUUCUGUUGUUUCCUCCAAGGAAUUCUAAAGCAGCUCCCCGCAAUGCCCAGGACAGUGGCU